AACGAACGCUGGCGGCAGGCUUAACACAUGCAAGUCGAGCGCCCCGCAAGGGGAGCGGCAGACGGGUGAGUAACGCGUGGGAACGUGCCCUUUGCUACGGAAUAGCUCCGGGAAACUGGAAUUAAUACCGUAUGAGCCCUACGGGGGAAAGAUUUAUCGGCAAAGGAUCGGCCCGCGUUGGAUUAGCUAGUUGGUGGGGUAAAGGCCUACCAAGGCGACGAUCCAUAGCUGGUCUGAGAGGAUGAUCAGCCACAUUGGGACUGAGACACGGCCCAAACUCCUACGGGAGGCAGCAGUGGGGAAUAUUGGACAAUGGGCGCAAGCCUGAUCCAGCCAUGCCGCGUGAGUGAUGAAGGCCUUAGGGUUGUAAAGCUCUUUCACCGGAGAAGAUAAUGACGGUAUCCGGAGAAGAAGCCCCGGCUAACUUCGUGCCAGCCGCCGCGGUAA
rnacentral:rRNA from 1 species